rnacentral:tRNA from 1 species
GCAGUGGGGGUUCAGUGGUAGAAUUCUCCCCCCCAUGCAGGAGACCCGGGUUCAAUUCCCAGCCAUUGCA